ensembl:lncRNA
UGUUGAUGAAGGAGAAACUGAUCAAGAUGAAGAUACCUAUGGGACCAACAAGGCAGGUGUGAACCUGGGCUGGAUUGCCACUGUGAGAACAGAGAAGGAUGGGAUUCCUUGCCUAAUAUGGCGAGAUGGUGCUGACACAUGAUGCUUUCCAAACAGUUUCGUUGUUUAGAAAUAGUCGAAGCCUCUGAUGCAAGUGAGAUAAUGUCUCCUAAGAGUAAAGUAAAAAUUUUAGAGUAAAAAUUGCGAGGAAAAACCUCAUUAUGUAGAGAUUUGAGGUUAAUGUUCAAUGCUAGUAUCUUGAGGGGGGAUACGGCAGCCUUUAGCUUCUGCAGCCAACAAUCCCCAAAGCAGCUUCCAAAAUCCAGUUUCUGCUUGUUCCGCUGGCCAGAAGCACAGCAAUUAGGAAUUAUGCCCCUGCUGUCUCACUCACUUUGCAGCAUCGAAAUAUGGAAGAGUUGCUCAUGUUUAGGCUGUUUUCUAGCACACAAAACCAGCCAGCUGGUAUUUGGCUAAGUGGGAUUCCUGAGAGAAGCAUCAGUGGGGGCAGCUUACCAACGUAACACACUCGGGGCAGCCUCCCUGCUACAGCUGAUGGGCUGCGUUCCUUGGAUGCCUGGUAUUUCACCCUGGUUGCCAUCUCACACAAACAUCUGCUGGUCAAGGCUUUGAGGCUUGCAGGCAACCCUGAUUAGUGUUUAUAACCAAGAAUCCUUAACUUGAAAAAAUAGUUAUGUGGUUUUUUUUCCCCCCCUAUUAUCUGGUUUCAGAAAGGCAAGAAUGUUCUCAGAAAAAGGCCCUUUCUUAGAGAAUGUUGGCUGCAUAAAGGUUGAAGGCAGGGCAAGAAGUAAGACCUUGCGAGGGCUGGAGACUCACUGCGAGCAGUGUUCUAGAUUCCUUGAGUGUUCGAGCUUUGACAUACUCACCAGUUUCAAAUCUCCAUCGCAGCCUGUGGUGGGUCUCAGAUUCUGGUGCUUCAGUCAGCUUUCCCGGGAUGGCCGAGGCUGUUGGCCCCAUGGACCGCUCUUGAGGGAACACAGACCCAGGAAAGACUCUCAAACCUCGAGGUGGACAUGGAGAAUGGAUCUANNNNNNNNNNNNNNNNNNNNNNNNNNNNNNNNNNNNNNNNNNNNNNNNNNNNNNNNNNNNNNNNNNNNNNNNNNNNNNNNNNNNNNNNNNNNNNNNNNNAUGGAGAAUGGAUCUAACACUUGCCACCUUCAUACCAACCCUAUUAAUUGCAAAUAUUGAAGGAUCCACUUAUACGACAAGUACAUUUAAUAUCUCAUAGAACAAGACAUCUGGAGUUGGUGGUUCCAGGGCUGGCUUUUAGAGCUGGAUGGAGUUAGCCAUGACCUGUUCUCCUCCAUCUGCCCUCUUAGAUUCCUUGGUCGCUGGCUCGUUCGUGAGCCUGUCUUUCCGGGGUGAGAAAAUGGCUGCUGCCGCCUUAGGCUCUGAGUGUGGAGGGUCACCUGAAUGAAGAAUAGGACACUUCCUCCCAUGGGUCGCUAUUUAUUUGGAAGGAAACCCUCUCCCCUGAAGCUAUUUGACCACAGCUUCCCACUGCAGGAUUCCCCUGAAUUCUGGCCAGAAUUGUGUCAUGGGCCAGUGCUUGACCUCCAAGGGAGGUGGUGAUGGUAUUGGGAAACUUCAGCAGUGGUCCUGAGGUAGGAGCGGGUUUGUCUGGGGCCCAUCUGCACCAGUCACCUCAUGAACUUCAGGUGGCUUCGACCCAGUUCUCUCACGUCAGCAUCCCAGCCACAUUCCUCCAUGUCUUCCACAACAAGUCUUUCUUUUUAAUGUAAAAUGUAUUAAAUUAAUACCAUCCAAGGGAAUUGACGUUUUGGGAAGACAUGCCUGGUGUAUGGUACCUUCCAUGUCAGUAGGUCCGUGUGCCCUACCUAGUGUGAGAGAUCCAGAGUUAACACAUACAUUGCAGCAUUCACCGAAAAGCUUUUUGAGAAACAGAGGGACUCCAACAAAAUGCUGCGAACCCCUAGAUUUUGGAGUUCCAAGCUCCUUGGUUGGAGAUGGUGGUAGAAGGCGUGGAAUGGUGGCGGGGCGGGUCUUCAUCAUGGUGGUGGGGCAGGACUUGAUCAGGAUCGAGAGGGUGGCUGGGCUUGGUCAGCCCGUGACUGGGGUGGGAUUUGUGGUGAACCACCAGCCCCUGCCCCAGCUGACGAACAGAGACGAUUCCUCUCACAAAAUCUUCUGGGAAAGGAAACUCUGAACCCUGAAGCCAACUUGGUAGCCGUCUGAUGAUAGCUCAGUUCAGUUCAGUUCAGUCGCUCAGUCGUGUCCUACUCUUUGCGACC